UCUGUUUUCUCUUUGCCCCGCCUGCCUCGACAAGCAGAAACACCUCUGCCAGGUGAUCUGAUGGAUACGGAGGAAACCUGUUUGGCACUUGCUGCCUGAACACCACAAAGAGAUAAGGGAUUUCUGAUGGGCACCCUGAAGACCUGGGCCUGUGGGCAUGCCCACUCCCUCAUCCAGAUGCUGGAAGGCAUGGAUGCUAGGAAAGAGGGAGGAGAAGGUUUUAUAUACUGAACUUGUUUUGGAUACUUUGAUUUGAUUAGUUUGCUUUGAGAUGCAACAAGUCCAUCAUUUUACAGAAGACAAUGGAAAUGAAAGCAGCAUUUAGAAAUAAAUAUACAAUUUACACUAUCUCCUCCUCUGCCCUUCAGUGUGGAACAGGUUCCCCACUCACCCACUUCAUCCUCCUCUCUUGCAGCUCCCUUUUAAGCUUUCCCCCGCACAGUGCUGAGCAGGACCUGCUUGGUAAAAUGAGGCAGCUGGUAAGCAGUGCCCCCUGCAGAACCAGUGGGGCUGAAACCUUGCAAAAUUAAAUACACCUGCCUUGCCGUGUUGCAGACCUUCAAGCCUGACCUAAGCAGGUGCCUCAGACCAAGAGGUUCCCUAAAGGGUCCAAGCGGAGUUACUUCUUUUGAUUCCUUGAGAAUGGACUGUGUGGAAGGAGCCAAGGGAACCUCUUUCCUGCCCCAGAAAAGCUAUCACGAGGAGAGGCCUGAUAUCAGCACCACUCAUCAGACUAUGAUAUAGAGCUGCCCAGUAGAUAUUGGAGUCUCAGCUGGCAUGAAUGACAGUGGAGGCUGGAGAUCAGUUUGAAGGAGUCAAACUGCUUUGUUUGUUUCAUCCGUGCCUUUAAAUGAAAUUUCAGGGCCACGUGAAAGCUCUAAGUCUAGAACUGCUCACAUACAUACCCCUAAAGCAACUAGAUGCUCCUGAAUCGUCAUCUGACCAGAAGUUUUUGUUAGAAUGGCAGAUUACUUGGGUAUGAACUAAAACCAGCCACUACAAAGAAAAGUAAAUCCGUUCCUAGGGAAAUCUCAGAAUCUCUUUUCCAUUGUAAAAUGGAAUAAAAAAUAAUAAAAAGUUGGCAUUACUGAAUUUCUCUAGAAUGAGGAUUUCUGAAGUCUCGGAAACAUAGGAAUUGGAGCCUUUGUUCUGAAAACAUAAAAUAUUUAAUAUGGAAUUUUUCCCAACCAAAUUUGUUUCAAGAGGGAAUUUCUGUGUGCAAAAAAAAAAAAAUAAACGCCACUCAGUGCUGAUGAAACUCCAUGUAUGCUAUCCACUGCUAUCUAGCUAAGGAAGAAGAAUCCUUCUCUUCUGCUACAUUACCUUUCUUUCCAGGGAAUGAGAAAAAGAAAGAAGAAAAGCCAUUUGAGAGUCGGCAUGGCCACAGGACUCAUCUGGGGCUUGGCUGGCAGUGAUAUCACUGCCCUCCCUCCAAAUAACAGCCCUGGGUGAUGUCAUCUCUUUUCCUUUAACACAUCCUAACAAACAACACAGUGCAGGGGGAGAUUGUCCCUUUUUCUUUGUAUUAUUAUUAUUAUUUUAAUUUCCAAAUGAAUUUUGUAAUAACAGCAAUUAAACCCUCCCGCCAGCCAGCCCCUGGGGGGUGAUUCUUGUUCUUGUGCAGUGAAACUUUUCUCCUAGAGAACAUCAUAGCAGGCAUGCAAUAAUCAUCCAGAAAUGCACAGCCUGUCAUGUCUUAUUGCUUAAUUAUCCAUCUCACCUUCUUUCAACCCUCUUCUUACUGUUCCUUGUGUGAUGCCUAUUUAUUUUAUUUCAUUUUCCCCAACCUCUGUCCCUCCAUGCCUAAAGAUUGUGAGAGCUGAAAACAUUUUUCCCUUUCGUUCUGCUGCUCUGAAGUUCCUCCAUCAUAGGUCACCACUGACCAUUCCCAUGAGGAAUUAUAAACUCAACACUCUCAGAGAGUUUUUCCCACUUUUAACUUACUGUGGACAAAUUCUACUAGCUAUAACAUCACUACAAUGUCAUUUCACCCAGCGUGAAACUGGCCUUUCUGUUUUAUACCCUCAGAAUAUAAAUGGCUAUGCCUCUCAGGAACCUUUUCUGAAAUAAGGGAAAAUUAAUCCAAAGAAACCUAACAUACAGGAGCCCAAAAUACUGGAUGGAACAGUCUUCAGGAGUUCCUCAUCUGCAUGUCAGGGGGUUGGCUUUGUAGGGCAUGCACAUGUGUGCAAUUUUUAAUGUUCGUUUGGGUGUGCUUUAAGCCCCCUCUCUCUAAAAGCAGCUCCAGUUUAAGAUAGCUGUUAACCUUUGCCAGAUGCUGAAACAACAGCCAAGCAUCUGAAUGGUAUCAGAGUGGAUCAUCCCUGUUCCUUCCACCCUACUACACUGAGCCAAAAAAUCCCUGCAGUUUGCAUCAUUUUGCUCUUCAGGUCUGGGGAAAUGUUCUUCAUGGAGGAAAAUCUUGGCCUUCAGGAAAUGUCUAAGUAAGGUUCUCAAGACAGUCUGUGAGUAAUUUAGAAAUGUAAGUCUGAAGAUGAAAAGAGGAAAGAGCUGAAUACCUCACUGGAAAGCAGUUUCUUCUACAUUUCUCUUGAAAAAUAGUAAAUAGUCUAUGACUAAAUUAAUAAAUGAGUAAAUUAGUCUAUGACAUGGCUGGGGUAAAACUAACACAAAUGAUUGGUCUGGAUCCAUGUCCCAAGGUCUCUUUGGUUCCCUGACACUCUUUUUUUUUCUUGUGCUUUGUCUUUUGCACUAAACUAGGAUCCAGAAUAGCUGCAGUUCAGCUGAGACACCCUUGUCCAGGCUACAGGAAGGGGAUGGUCCCUGGCUGAGGAAGCAAAUGUGCCAAAUAGAGCUGAGGAAAGCCACAUCACUCAGAGGUCCCAUCUGAAGCUUCAUAGAAAGGCUUCAGAACAGGUCUUCAAUCACUCCUGUUGCUCUCCAGCUGGUCUACAUCUUUCCUGAAAAGCAGUAACCAAAACUGUGCAGAGUAUUCAUCUUGAGUCCCUACUAAUAGCAAGAAGAGUGGAAGAAUUGCUUCAUACUUACAGCUGGAAAAGAAGACAGAAGUUCCCCCAAAUUGCCACCCACACCUGCACAUUUGCAGUUUCUGCGCACCAAAGCAAAACAGCUCUCUUCUUUCUAAGCUGCAGAAAUGCAAAGAAUCACUUGUUUGGAUAGAGAAAUGAAACUGUCAGCUGAUGCAGGACGCAUGGCUGCCAGACCAGGCUCCCAAAACCUAAAUCCCCAAACAGGAGCUUUUGGGUGCACUCCUGGAAACCUGGACAUCUCCUUUGUGCAGGACUUUGCACCGCUGCUUUCUGCUUUGGCAUCAGCUCCACUGUGUCUUUCUGGGGCUCUACUGGUCUCUCAAGAAAGAAUAACAACAAACCCAAUGAACCAAGUAAAGAGAGCCUGGACUUUUUCCUGCAGAAGACCCUGUGGCUAUUCUUGGAGUUUGCCUGCCAGCUGCCUUCUGUCUCAGAAAUGAACUCCUUCCUUCUGCUCCCCAGAGACAUACCAAGUUUGCCUGUGACAUGACUGAAGCUAACUGCAUCCACUUGACAGGGUAACUCUGCUUCCUCACGAAAGAGCUGAAGGUGGGCCAGGAGAGAAGUCUUGCAGCUCCUGGCGUCCAGCAAAAACACUGUACAGUUUUCUCUCCACAAGAAAUGCUGUAGGUUCCAUCUGAUUAGGAAGUGAUUUGGGGUUUUCCUAUGUGAAAAACAUGCAUUCACUUAUUUUGUUUAUUUCAUGCAUUUUAGUUUAGGGAGCAACCUGAUUGCUCCUCAAAUUGUUGUGGUUUCCUGCCACUGAACACUGAAUUAUUCCUUCCUUCAUACUUUAGAAAAUUAAAAUACAGAUUUAAACACUAACAUUUGCUAUUUUGCUGGGAAUAAAGUGUGGGAAAAUCA